rnacentral:rRNA from 1 species
CUCUGUGACUCCUACGGGAGGCAGCAGUGGGGAAUAUUGCACAAUGGGGGAAACCCUGAUGCAGCCAUGCCGCGUGUGUGAAGAAGGCCUUCGGGUUGUAAAGCACUUUCAGUAGGGAGGAAGGUAGUGUAGUUAACACCUGCAUUAUUUGACGUUACCUACAGAAGAAGCACCGGCUAACUCCGUGCCAGCAGCCGCGGUAAUACGGAGGGUGCGAGCGUUAAUCGGAAUUACUGGGACGUAAAGCGCAUGCAGGCGGCCUGUUAAGUCAGAUGUGAAAGCCCCGGGGCUUAACCUCGGAAUUGCAUUUGAAACUGGCAGGCUAGAGUCUUGUAGAGGGGGUAGAAUUUCAGGUGUAGCGGUGAAAUGCGUAGAGAUCUGAAGGAAUACCAGUGGCGAAGGCGGCCCCCUGGACAAAGACUGACGCUCAGAUGCGAAAGCGUGGGGAGCAAACAGGAUUAGAUACCCUGGUAG